UCUGGUGAUUAUAGCUAGAAGGUAACACCCGUUCCCAUGCCGAACACGAUGGUUAAGCUUCUAAGCGCCGAUGGUA
rnacentral:rRNA from 1 species